rnacentral:lncRNA from 1 species
UCGUCCCUUCGGGGACAUCCGAUAAAAUUGGAACGAUACAGAGAAGAUUAGCAUGGCCCCUGCGCAAGGAUGACACGCAUAAAUCGAGAAAUGGUCCAAAUUUUUUUCCCUCUUUUUUGCCAAAAUUUUUUUUCCCUCUCCACAGUGUUUCCCACAAUCCCAAGGGCCAAAGCCGUAGUUCAGUGCAGUUACAGAGGCUUUAGAGGCUAUACGAACUAUGAGCAUUUUGCAUUUGAAGCCUUCGAUGGUUCGGUGGCUUAGUCUUUGAUUUUCCAGGUGUGAGUAAAAGUUUGAAUUCAAUCUACUUUUCUAAUUUAAAAGCAUAUCUGUCCAGUAUUUGAUGGUUUAGUGACUGAUUUUUUAGUAUGGAAUCUUGUUUCUUACAAUCUAAUCCAUUUAAAAAGCUUGCCCGCCAGCUGUUUGAUAAAAUGACUCUGUUACUAUGACCCUUGUACAAUUGUUAAGCAUGCACUUCAAAUGAUCCUCAGAUAAUCUCUUACAGGGCUCUAGCUUCUGAUCUCUGGCCUGAUGUUGUCCCUUUGGUAUUUGGUAUCUCCACCUUUUUUUAUUUGGCCGAGUAGGAUGUACAAAUCCAAGAUAUCCUUCUUUUAGUUGAGUUCGUGAGUAUUGGUUUAGAAGUUUCAAUCUUGGUUGUUUGAGAAAUUCUUAAAUGAUAAUGGUGGUAGCCAUUUAGAUUUAGAAGUUUAUAGAAUGCAAGGAUCAGCCUGUGACUUCAAUAUCCUGCUAUGCUAACAGUAGGAUUCAUUAAUGAUUUGAAAUGCUAAGUAAAAAGAAAGCAUAUCCUACAUGAUGAUAUCAGGUUAGAGUUGGGAUUAGGGACAUGAAAUCUGAAACCUAUUUUCAUGAAAUUUCUUUUGUUUCUGACAUGGUUUUUUGUUUGCGUACACCUAUGUUCUUGGCUUGAAUUUCAUGAAAACAAAACCAUGUUCUUGCCCUGAAUUUCUUUUCGUCUAUUGUCAUCUGGGGGUGAUAACAGAACCUAUGUUCUUAGGUUGAAUUGGCAACUUACUGAUAUUUAUGGACUCUUAUGCCUUUGACUGACCCGCAUUUCAUAUUCGUAUCAUGACAGGCCCCUUGAGCUCUCAAGCUUGCACUCAUGAAUCUUUUGAAAGUCCAUACUGUCUGUUACUUCGAAAACCAUGAAGCUGAUGGAUUGUUCGAAGUAAUUUUUGGAGUUGCUUCAGUUUGGGAACUAGAAGGUAGUGAAAGCCAUACCACUUUUCUUUUUUUUUUAACAAGUAAUCAACUCAAAACUAAAGCCUUUACCGCUUUGACAUAUAGUUGGCC